rnacentral:rRNA from 1 species
AUUGAACGCUAGCGGGAUGCCGUACACAUGCAAGUCGAACGGCAGCGCGGACUUCGGUCUGGCGGCGAGUGGCGAACGGGUGAGUAAUGUAUCGGAACGUGCCCAGUAGCGGGGGAUAACUACUCGAAAGAGUAGCUAAUACCGCAUACGCCCUACGGGGGAAAGGGGGGGAUCGCAAGACCUCUCACUAUUGGAGCGGCCGAUAUCGGAUUAGCUAGUUGGUGAGGUAAAGGCUCAACCAGGCGACGAUCCGUAGCUGGUUUGAGAGGACGACCAGCCACACUGGGACUGAGACACGGCCCAGACUCCUACGGGAGGCAGGAGUGGGGAAUUUUGGACAAUGGGGGAAACCCUGAUCCAGCCAUUCCGCGUGUGCGAUGAAGGCCUUCGGGUUGUAAAGCACUUUUGGCAGGAAAGAAAUCGCAUCAAUUAAUACUUGGUGUGGAUGACGGUACCUGCAGAAUAAGCACCGGCUAACUACGUGCCAGCCGCCGCAGUAA